UACGGGGGGAGCAAGCGUUGUUCGGAUUUACUGGGCGUAAAGGGCGCGUAGGCGGCCACCGCAAGUCGACUGUGAAAUCUCCGGGCUUAACCCGGAAAGGUCAGCCGAUACUGCGGGGCUAGAGUGCAGAAGGGGCAACUGGAAUUCUCGGUGUAGCGGUGAAAUGCGUAGGAUAAUCGAGAGGAACACCUGCGGCGAAGGCGG
rnacentral:rRNA from 1 species